GCAUCUUCUGGAUGAUGUGAUCUCCUACAUGACUAGUGAAUACCGACUGAAGACACUGUCUGCCUCAGAGGAUACAUUUCUCCAGAGGUUCCACAUUGUGAGAAACCAUCAUACAGUUACCAUGGUGAUGGGAACACGUCUGCCAGUGAGCCAUCGACUGGACUGGGUGGUCCGCAGUUGAUGAUGUCACCGGAAAUAGGUCCCCGGGGCUCCGUGGACGAUACACAAGGUGGUGUCUUUUGUAACCGUAUAAAGUCUCUGAUGGUCAACUUCCAAACGGACAGCGAAGAUGGAUGCAUUGUCCAAGGGCCUUCGCUUCUCUUCUCCGACUGGUCAACUCUCAGCCUUGUCUAUACUUUUUGAGAGGUGUUUGGCAUCCUUACCAGAUGUCAGAAACAGGUGGUUCUCCGCACUCGGACGUCCUUUAUUCCUAAAGUGGUUUAAUGUUUCCAAUUGAAUCAGGAGAUUGUUGUUCCAGUUUUACAUCCAUUGGAUCCAAAGAGUCCUCCUCCAAUUUAUAGAAGCAC